ACCGCGGUGGCCCAGCUGGUAGUGGCCUCGGCAGUACAGGUGCUGACGGUCACAGGUUUAAAUCCUGCCUGCGGUA